rnacentral:rRNA from 1 species
GGCUCUUGGCAACGGAAAUUUAGGCUCUUCGCACCGUUGAAAACGUAGGCAAAUUGCGAACUUGGGGGUGAUUGCAAAACCCCGGUGACCAUUCAGUUUUUGAACCAAGGUGCCCCAAAGCCACUGGUUGGGGGCCGGCCUGCUUGGAGUUAC